GACGAACGCUGGCGGCGUGCUUAACACAUGCAAGUCGAGCGGUAAGGCUCCUUCGGGAGUACACGAGCGGCGAACGGGUGAGUAACACGUGAGCAAUCUGCCCAUCUCUUUGGAAUAAGCGUUGGAAACGACGUCUAAUGCCGAAUACGACCUCCUUUCGCAUGAUCGGAGGUGGAAAGCUCCGGCGGAGAUGGAUGAGCUCGCGGCCUAUCAGCUAGCNGGUGAGGUAACGGCCCACCAAGGCGACGACGGGUAGCCGGCCUGAGAGGGUGACCGGCCACACUGGGACUGAGACACGGCCCAGACUCCUACGGGAGGCAGCAGUGGGGAAUAUUGCACAAUGGGACGAAAGCCUGAUGCAGCGACGCCGCGUGAGGGAUGACGGCCUGGUUCGUAAC
rnacentral:rRNA from 1 species